UGCAGUCGAGCGCCCCGCAAGGGGAGCGGCAGACGGGUGAGUAACGCGUGGGAAUCUACCUAGCUCUACGGAAUAACCCAGGGAAACUUGGACUAAUACCGUAUACGUCCUUCGGGAGAAAGAUUUAUCGGAGUUGGAUGAGCCCGCGUUGGAUUAGCUAGUUGGUGGGGUAAUGGAGCCG
rnacentral:rRNA from 1 species